UACAGAGGGUGCGAGCGUUGUCCGGAAUCACUGGGCGUAAAGGGCGCGUAGGUGGCCCGACCAGUCACUGGUGAAAGCUCGACGCUCAACGUCGAGUCGGCCAGUGAUACUGUUGGGCUGGAGCACUGUAGAGGCAGAUGGAAUUCCGGGAGUAGCGGUGGAAUGCGUAGAGAUCCGGAAGAACACCGGUGGCGAAGGCGGUCUGCUGGGCAGUAGCUGACACUGAGGCGCGACAGCGUGGGGAGCAAACAGG
rnacentral:rRNA from 1 species